AAGAAAGUGGCAGAGCGGCAAUGUGAUUGGCUUGAAACCAAUAAACGGGGGUUCGAUUCCCUCCUUUCUCG
rnacentral:tRNA from 1 species